UGGAUCACCUCCUAACAGGGAGACAACAAAAUGUUUAAUAUUAUUAUUUUGUCACCUUAGGUGGAUCGGUAUCUCACGUUUUUAAUUUAUUAAGAAUUUCAUUUCCUAAGUUUUUCUAGGUCACACCCAUUUUUUUUCCUUGGCCAUUAGCUCAGGUGGUUAGAGCGCACCCCUGAUAAGGGUGAGGUCCCUGGUUCAAGUCCAGGAUGGCCCAUAUCUCUAUGUUGGGGGUAUAGCUCAGUUGGUAGAGCGCCUGCUUUGCAAGCAGGAUGUCAGCGGUUCGAGUCCGCUUACCUCCACUGAUCACCACCUCUUCCAUAACCGGUAGAAAGGAAAUUUUUUGAGUUGUGAUCAAAUUCUGAAAGAAUCUAGCUUCCUAAUGAAAUCAUUAAGAUGCUGGACUCAUUGAAUUAAUUUCAUUGUUUUCAGAGAACCUUGACAACUGCAUAGAUUAUUUUUAAAGACAAUAAGCAUCUUUAAUGAUGCAGAUUUAUUAUUUGUGCAAAUGCAUUAAUAACAAUUCUAUUAAGCUGAUGCUUCAAUUUUUGAAGUUAUUGGUCAAGCUACAAAGGGCUCACGGAGGAUACCUAGGCACACAGAGGCGAUGAAGG
rnacentral:tRNA from 1 species